GGGUUGUGAGGUUAAGCGACUAAGCGUACACGGUGGAUGCCCUGGCAGUCAGAGGCGAUGAAGGGCGUGCUAAUCUGCGAUAAGCGCCGGUAAGGUGAUAUGAACCGUUAUAACCGGCGAUACCCGAAUGGGGAAACCCAGUGUGACUCGUCACACUAUCAUUAACUGAAUCCAUAGGUUAAUGAGGCGAACCGGGGGAACUGAAACAUCUAAGUACCCCGAGGAAAAGAAAUCAACCGAGAUUCCCCCAGUAGCGGCGAGCGAACGGGGAGGAGCCCAGAGCCUGAAUCAGCAUGUGUGUUAGUGGAAGCGUCUGGAAAGGCGCGCGAUACAGGGUGACAGCCCCGUACACAAAAGCGCAUGUGCUGUGAGCUCGAUGAGUAGGGCGGGACACGUGGUAUCCUGUCUGAAUAUGGGGGGACCAUCCUCCAAGGCUAAAUACUCCUGACUGACCGAUAGUGAACCAGUACCGUGAGGGAAAGGCGAAAAGAACCCCGGCGAGGGGAGUGAAAAAGAACCUGAAACCGUGUACGUACAAGCAGUGGGAGCACAGGUUUACCUGUGUGACUGCGUACCUUUUGUAUAAUGGGUCAGCGACUUAUAUUCUGUAGCAAGGUUAACCGAAUAGGGGAGCCGGAGGGAAACCGAGUCUUAACCGGGCGUUAAGUUGCAGGGUAUAGACCCGAAACCCGGUGAUCUAGCCAUGGGCAGGUUGAAGGUUGGGUAACACUAACUGGAGGACCGAACCGACUAAUGUUGAAAAAUUAGCGGAUGACCUGUGGCUGGGGGUGAAAGGCCAAUCAAACCGGGAGAUAGCUGGUUCUCCCCGAAAGCUAUUUAGGUAGCGCCUCGUGAAUUCAUCUCCGGGGGUAGAGCACUGUUUCGGCUAGGGGGCCAUCCCGGCUUACCAACCCGAUGCAAACUGCGAAUACCGGAGAAUGUUAUCACGGGAGACACACGGCGGGUGCUAACGUCCGUCGUGAAGAGGGAAACAACCCAGACCGCCAGCUAAGGUCCCAAAGUCAUGGUUAAGUGGGAAACGAUGUGGGAAGGCCCAGACAGCCAGGAUGUUGGCUUAGAAGCAGCCAUCAUUUAAAGAAAGCGUAAUAGCUCACUGGUCGAGUCGGCCUGCGCGGAAGAUGUAACGGGGCUAAACCAUGCACCGAAGCUGCGGCAGCGACGCUGAUGCGUUGUUGGGUAGGGGAGCGUUCUGUAAGCCUGUGAAGGUGGCCUGUGAGGGUUGCUGGAGGUAUCAGAAGUGCGAAUGCUGACAUAAGUAACGAUAAAGCGGGUGAAAAGCCCGCUCGCCGGAAGACCAAGGGUUCCUGUCCAACGUUAAUCGGGGCAGGGUGAGUCGACCCCUAAGGCGAGGCCGAAAGGCGUAGUCGAUGGGAAACGGGUUAAUAUUCCCGUACUUGGUGUUACUGCGAAGGGGGGACGGAGAAGGCUAUGUUGGCCGGGCGACGGUUGUCCCGGUUUAAGCGUGUAGGUGUGUGUUCCAGGUAAAUCCGGUUCACUUUAACACUGAGGCGUGACGACGAGGCACUACGGUGCUGAAGCAACAAAUGCCCUGCUUCCAGGAAAAGCCUCUAAGCAUCAGGUAACAUCAAAUCGUACCCCAAACCGACACAGGUGGUCAGGUAGAGAAUACCAAGGCGCUUGAGAGAACUCGGGUGAAGGAACUAGGCAAAAUGGUGCCGUAACUUCGGGAGAAGGCACGCUGACACGUAGGUGAAGUGAUUUACUCACGGAGCUGAAGUCAGUCGAAGAUACCAGCUGGCUGCAACUGUUUAUUAAAAACACAGCACUGUGCAAACACGAAAGUGGACGUAUACGGUGUGACGCCUGCCCGGUGCCGGAAGGUUAAUUGAUGGGGUCAGCGCAAGCGAAGCUCCUGAUCGAAGCCCCGGUAAACGGCGGCCGUAACUAUAACGGUCCUAAGGUAGCGAAAUUCCUUGUCGGGUAAGUUCCGACCUGCACGAAUGGCGUAAUGAUGGCCAGGCUGUCUCCACCCGAGACUCAGUGAAAUUGAACUCGCUGUGAAGAUGCAGUGUACCCGCGGCAAGACGGAAAGACCCCGUGAACCUUUACUAUAGCUUGACACUGAACAUUGAGCCUUGAUGUGUAGGAUAGGUGGGAGGCUUUGAAGUGUGGACGCCAGUCUGCAUGGAGCCGACCUUGAAAUACCACCCUUUAAUGUUUGAUGUUCUAACGUGGACCCGUAAUCCGGGUUGCGGACAGUGUCUGGUGGGUAGUUUGACUGGGGCGGUCUCCUCCUAAAGAGUAACGGAGGAGCACGAAGGUUGGCUAAUCCUGGUCGGACAUCAGGAGGUUAGUGCAAUGGCAUAAGCCAGCUUGACUGCGAGCGUGACGGCGCGAGCAGGUGCGAAAGCAGGUCAUAGUGAUCCGGUGGUUCUGAAUGGAAGGGCCAUCGCUCAACGGAUAAAAGGUACUCCGGGGAUAACAGGCUGAUACCGCCCAAGAGUUCAUAUCGACGGCGGUGUUUGGCACCUCGAUGUCGGCUCAUCACAUCCUGGGGCUGAAGUAGGUCCCAAGGGUAUGGCUGUUCGCCAUUUAAAGUGGUACGCGAGCUGGGUUUAGAACGUCGUGAGACAGUUCGGUCCCUAUCUGCCGUGGGCGCUGGAGAACUGAGGGGGGCUGCUCCUAGUACGAGAGGACCGGAGUGGACGCAUCACUGGUGUUCGGGUUGUCAUGCCAAUGGCACUGCCCGGUAGCUAAAUGCGGAAGAGAUAAGUGCUGAAAGCAUCUAAGCACGAAACUUGCCCCGAGAUGAGUUCUCCCUGAGACUUAGAGUCUCCUGAAGGAACGUUGAAGACGACGACGUUGAUAGGCCGGGUGUGUAAGCGCAGCGAUGCGUUGAGCUAACCGGUACUAAUGAACCGUGAGGCUUAACCUUACAACGCCGAAG
rnacentral:rRNA from 1 species